rnacentral:lncRNA from 1 species
ACAUAAAAAGAAAAUUUACAAAUGCAAAACACUUUUUUUUACACCAUAAACCUUAUCAUAUCACAUGUUCGCACUACUGUAGACAAAUUCAUGGAGGCAAGUAAGCAUCACAUACACUGUACAAGAUAUGGUCUCCAUGCCAAUGUAAGAAAAUAUUCUCAAUCACAAGUCCCCUGACUACCUCAAAAAAUCUGGGCAUUCUUUAAUAUAAACGACAAAGACAUCUCGUCACUGAUUAAGACAAUCAAGUUUAAUCUGAAAUAAGCUUACAACAACGAUAACAUACCCAGUGUAGUCUCACAAGUGGGACAAUCUGAAAUAAGCUUACAACCAAUAAAUAAACAAUUGACAGAUUAAUGCUGUCAUCAACACAAAGUUGGCAUCAAUCCUCUAAAAUCUCUAACCACAAAGCCAAUCCGAACAUUUGGACCUAGACCUUGACAAAGAACUUACCGGUAAUCACUAAAAUAAAGCAUCAGGUAGAUUUUGGAUAAGAACUAUAAGCUUCAAUGCACAAUAACCGACUCAAAAGGUAGGAUCAUAAAGUUCAAUGUAUAACUCACUGCCCCACACAAAAUGAAAUGGUUCCAUGUCUCAAGAAGCUAUUCA